UCUGUGAUUCGGAGUCGCGAAACCUAGUGCUGUAGCCGAGGUACUACCUAUGGCGGAUCGGAUGUCCCUCCAGCCAUCUUCAAGUGUAGCUGCGCCAAGCUGCUCUUCCGUUGGUAGGGCCACUGCUAACUGCUGCGCGUAGUCUUGAGCCACUUCUACGUUACGAAGUUGCUCGAUGUUGAGCCGCGGCGUUCGACUUCGACGCGUGGUGAUAACUGUCGAAAGUUUUGAGCGCAUGCAUACAGCGACUAAGUAGUGAUCCGAAUCUAUAUUCGCACUGCGGUAUGUGCGGACGUUGGUUAUAUCUGAGAAGAAUUUACCGUCGAUUAGAACGUGGUCGAUUUGGUUUUCUGUUUGAUGGUCGGGUGAUCUCCAUGUGGCUUUGUGGAUAUCUUUGCGGGGGAAGAAGGUGCUUCGGACUACCAUACCACGGGAGGCUGCAAAGUUUACGCAUCGCUGGCCGUUAUCAUUCGAUACGGCGUGCAGGCUGUUUCGCCCGAUUUACUGGUCUGUACAUUUCCUCCCUUCCUACCUGCGCGUUCAUGUCACCGACAACGAUUUUCACGUCACGCGGCGAGCAACCAUCGUACGUUUGCUCUAACUGCGCUUCUUUCUCGUCAUCGGGUUUCCCUUCAUGUGGACAGUGGACGUUGAUGAUGCUGUAGUUGAAGAAACGGCCCCUAACUCUUAACAUGCACAUCCUUGUAUUGAUCGGCUGCCACCCGAUCACACGUUGUCGCAUCUUGCCCAACACCAUAAAUCCUGUUCCCAGUUCAUUGGUGGUGCCACAGCUUUGGUAGAAGGUAGCCGCUCGAUGCCCGCUUUUCCACACUUUCUGUCCAGUCCAACAAAAUUCCUGCAACGCCACGAUGUCGAAGUUGCGGGGAUGUAGUUCGUCGUAGGUUAUCCUGUCACAUCCUCCGAAACCUAGUGACUUGCAGUUCCAUGUUCCAAGUUUCCAAUCGUAGUCCUUAUUUCGUCGCGUGGGUCUUUGCCGAUUGUAUCGAGUCGUAUUUUCUCCUAUCUUAUUCGCAAUGGGGAUUUUUACGGGUGGCUUAUUGGGCCUACGCCAACACUACUGUCUCGCCGGAGGGCCAUCGUGCCAGUUCUGUUAACCCAUUUCCGCCCAGUGAUCUAUUUAUAGAUCAGAUGCCUCGAACGCCCAGUGAUCUAUUUAUAGAUCAGUAACUCUUGCGAUAACUGUGGAGAAAUGAAGCAUUUUGGAAGGCUGGUGUCUUCAGCAAAGUUGUUGAGAAGAUCGAGGACUCUUCGAUUGUACGUAAUUUAGUACGUAUUCGCUCCAGUAGGUGGCACUAGUGAUCACGAAACAUUGUGCUUUGACAGGUGUUUCGUCAACAGACAUUGCUAAUACUGUCGCCUUCGUAUCUUGAGAAUCAGACUACAUAGAAAAAAAAUAUAUUCAACAAAGUUGAUCAGGACAUCAAGAGCUAUCUGAUAGUGAUCUAAUAGGUUCUAGGUUUAUCCGUUAGGUGGCGCUAGUGAGUCCUAAAAAAUUUAAACCUCUGUGUCUCGAGAAUCUGAUUACAUAGAAGAAUUUCGUCUUCGGCAAGGUUGAUCAGGACAUCAAUAGCUAUCCGAUAGUGAGCUGGGCUUAACCGUUAGGUGGCUAGUGAGUCCAAAAAAAUUUAAACCUCUGUAUCUCGAGAAUCCGACUACAUAGAAGUAUUCUGUCUUCGGCAAUCUCGACCAGGACAUCAACAGCUAUCCGAUAGUGAACUAGUUGAUUGCAGGUUUGUCCACUAGGUGGCGCAAGUGGGCUCUAAAAAUUCUGAACUUCUGUAUCUCGAGAAUCAGACUACAUAGAAGAAUUUCGCCUUCGGCAAAGUUGAUCAGGACAUCAAGAGCUACUCGAUAGCGCACUAGUUGGUUCAACGUUUAUCUGCUAGGUGGCGUUA